rnacentral:rRNA from 1 species
UUGAAAGGGAAACGAUUGAAGUCAGUCGUACCGGCGGGUAAUCAGCCUUUUGGGUGUGAUUAUGUGGAGUGUGAGGAGUUAAUCACCCUCAUCUUUGCAUAUUCGUGCACUUUGGGUGUACUUGCUCGUGUGGUAGGUUAACAUCAAUUUUGAUCGUCAUAAAAUGAUUGAAGGAAUGUAGCUUCGAUCUUGUAUUGAAGUGUUAUAGCCUUCGGUAGAUGUGAUGAUUGGGAUUGAGGAUUGCAACGGAUACCCUUCGGGGCUACCUGCCUGAUCUCUGAAAGUUGCUCUGGUGCCGAAAGCUUGCUUACGGUAUCAAAGUUGACGUUCAACAGGUUAGAACGGGAUAAAUUCGUUAAGGAUGUUGACGUA